rnacentral:misc_RNA from 1 species
AACGCACCUUGCGCCUUUUGGUAUUCCGAAAGGCAUGCCUGUUUGAGUGUCAUGAAAUCUCAAUCCCCUCGGGUUUCUGAUCUGGGGUGGACUUGGACUUGGGUGUCUGCCAGUCACUCGACUGGCUCACCUCAAAAGACUUAGUGGGAUUAGCAUCCACGGCCCGACGUAAUAAGUUUCGUCUGGCUAGGUGCAAGGCCUGCUCAUAACCCCUCGCCCUCCUGGGCGUUAACACUCUUUGACUCUGACCUCAAAUCAGGUAGGGCUACCCGCUGAACUUAA